CAAUAGCGUAUAUCUAAGUUGUUGCAGUUAAAAAGCUCGUAGUUGGAUUUCGGAUGGGAUUUGCCGGUCCGUCGUUACGAUGUGCACUGGCCAGUCCUAUCUUGUUGUCGGGGACUAGCUCCUUGGAUUCACUUCCUGGGACUAGGAGCUGACGAGGUUACUUUGAGUAAAUUAGAGUGUUCAAAGCAAGCCUACGCUCUGAAUACAUUAGCAUGGAAUAACACGAUAGGACUCUGGCUUAUCUUGUUGGUCUGUGAGACCAGAGUAAUGAUUAAGAGGGACAGUCGGGGACAUUCGUAUUUCAUUGUCAGAGGUGAAAUUCUUGGAUUUAUGAAAGACGAACUUCUGCGAAAGCAUUUGUCAAGGAUGUUUNCAUUAA
rnacentral:rRNA from 1 species